UCAAAAAACAAAAACAAAACAAAAUGAAAAACUUUUUUAAAGAUUUAAGAAAUCAAAGAUGACCUCUAAGCCUGCUGACACUAAACUGAGAGAGAGAUAAAUAAAAGGCCUGGGAUAUAAGAAAUGCAGGGUGCAUGAGGAAACAGCUCUCAAUAUGAAAUGGAGCAGCGCGAAUUAAUUAUAAGCUGGAGAAAGCCAGGUGGAAAGAUGGCUACUGAAGCUAAGGGUUAGACUGCGUCGUUCAGAGAAGCUAAGGGUUAGACCGCGUCGUUCAGAGAAGCUAAGGGUUAGACCGCGUCACUCAGAGAAGCUAAGGGUUAGACCGCGUCACUCAGAGAAGCUAAGGGUUAGACUGCGUCGUUCAGAGAAGCUAAGGGUUAGACCGCGUCACUCAGAGAAGCUAAGGGUUAGACUGCGUCGCUCAGAGAAGCUAAGGGUUAGACUGCGUCGUUCAGAGAAGCUAAGGGUUAGACCGCGUCACUCAGAGAAGCUAAGGUUAGACCGCGUCACUCAGAGAAGCUAAGGGUUAGACCGCGUCGUUCAGAGAAGCUAAGGGUUAGACCGAGUCACUCAGAGAAGCUAAGGUUAGACCGCGUCACUCAGAGAAGCUAAGGGUUAGACCGCGUCACUCAGAGAAGCUAAGGGUUAGACCGCGUCGUUCAGAGAAGCUAAGGGUUAGACCGCGUCGUUCAGAGAAGCUAAGGUUAGACCGCGUCGUUCAGAGAAGCUAAGGGCUAGACCGCGUCAUUCAGAGAAGCUAAGGGUUAGACCGCGUCAUUCAGAGAAGCUAAGGGCUAGACCGCAUCACUCAGAGAAGCUAAGGUUAGACCGCGUCAUUCAGAGAAGCUAAGGUUAGACCGCGUCGUUCAGAGAAGCUAAGGGUUAGACUGCGUCACUCAGAGUCAUUCAGAGAAGCUAAGGGUUUGACCGCGUCGUUCAGAGAAGCUAAGGGUUAGACCGCGUCGUUCAGAGAAGCUAAGGUUAGACCGCGUCGUUCAGAGAAGCUAAGGGCUAGACCGCGUCGUUCAGAGAAGCUAAGGUUAGACCGCGUCACUCAGAGAAGCUAAGGGUUGGACCGCGUCACUCAGAGAAGCUAAAGGCUAGACCGCGUCACUCAGAGAAGCUAAGGGUUAGACCGCGUCAUUCAGAGAAGCUAAGGUUAGACCGCGUCAUUCAGAGAAGCUAAGGUUAGACCGCGUCGUUCAGAGAAGCUAAGGGUUAGACUGCGUCACUCAGAGUCAUUCAGAGAAGCUAAGGGUUAGACCACGUCGUUCAGAGAAGCUAAGGGUUAGACCGCGUCGUUCAGAGAAGCUAAGGUUAGACCGCGUCACUCAGAGUCAUUCAGAGAAGCUAAGGGUUUGACCGCGUCGUUCAGAGAAGCUAAGGGUUAGACCGCGUCGUUCAGAGAAGCUAAGGGUUAGACCGCGUCGUUCAGAGAAGCUAAGGUUAGACCGCGUCGUUCAGAGAAGCUAAGGGUUAGACUGCGUCGUUCAGAGAAGCUAAGGGUUAGACCGCGUCGUUCAGAGAAGCUAAGGGCUAGACCGCAUCACUCAGAGAA
rnacentral:sRNA from 1 species